GCAUGCAACAAAUUGUUAAGUUUUAGAUGAUGAAAAAAUCAAACAAAUUUUGACAAAUCAAUUUAGUUUUUUUCCAAAAAAUAACGAUAACAAUCAUUAUUUGAGACUUCUGACAAAUCAAGAGAAGGAUAUUUUUUCAAUCAAUUUGAUGCUAACAGUAGCCGAUAAUGACAGCUUGACACCUGAUGGUAAAGGGCAUUACUACCCUCAAACAAAUUUAAUUAAGUAAUGUAAACUUAUGGACAGUUUAAAUUUAUAUAAAUCUUUAUUAUUUGCAAUUAUAUUUCAUCUUAUAUUUUUUACUGCAACCUUUAUAUAUGUAAAUCAGAUGUUUUAAUGUUUAGAAGGUUUAUAGUUCUUUUUAACUACUUUCUCUUAUAC
rnacentral:lncRNA from 1 species